rnacentral:rRNA from 1 species
UCUAAGCACAUGCCUUAAUACGGUGAAGCCGCGAAUAGCUCAUUACAACAGCCACCGUUUACUAGAAUAUAGUUAUCCUACUUGGAUAACUGUGGCAAUUCUAGAGCUUAUACAUGCAAAAAAGCUCCGCCCGCAAGGAACGAGCGCAUUUAUUAGAAUAAAAACCAAUCGGGUUUCGGCCCGUAAUUUGGUGAAUCUGAAUAACUUUGCCAAUCGCACAGUCCUAGUACUGGCGAUGUAUCUUUCAAGUGUCUGCCUUAUCAACUUUCGAUGGUAGGUUAUACGCCUACCAUGGUAGUAACGGGUAACGGAGAAUAAGGGUUCGACUCCGGAGAGGGAGCCUGAGAAACGGCUACCACAUCCAAGGAAGGCAGCAGGCGCGCAAAUUACCCACUUCCAGAACGGAGAGGUAGUG